CAAGAACACAGGCGGCCCAAUUCUAUUAUCUAAAACCUCUGGCCACACAAUAUACAGUGUGUAUAUCUCACUUCUGAUGGUUAGUUGAUACUUGGUUCCUUUAACCCCAAGACUACAAGUCUCUGAUCCAGAGCUCCUCUGAUUAAAGAGUAUUGACAGGGUUUCUGUGUCCAAAUUUGUUUUAUGUCUCUAAACUUCAUUAUUUCUACUUGGACAUCUUGUGUGUUUUCACAACUUCAGGUGUUAGUGACUGAGAAAUCCCCGUAAUCCUUAUCCACCCCAUGAACUGGCAAUGCUGUUGCAAACCUGCCUCAGUGGUGGUUUUGCCAUCAAAAUGUUAGCCCAAGUUCAUUUCAAAACAGCCUUAGAAGAGUAUUAUGGAAAAAAUAAACCUUUGCAAUGCAUUCCUUUUGUUUCUCUUUUAUUCCAUUUGAGUUAUCAAGUUAACUUCCCUGCAGGUUUUUCACUAUUCCAGUCUGUCAUUGCUUCAAUCCAGACUACACCAUUGUCAGAUCACUCUUUCAAAAGGACAUGUCUCUUCAGAAAUUACCUUACCUAAUGUAUUCUCCAGAUUAUCCAGAGUUCUCCAAAGAAACAGAUCCGUUCCCACUUCUGUCCUAUCCUAAAAUUAAAUGGCAUACAUCUUACAAUUUGGAACAAAUUCAAAGGCCACGUGCAUCAAACUACUUAGCUUAGAUUGUAAGUAGAAGCUAGAGACACAAUGCUCUUGCACCAAAUCAGGUAAGUCACUCGUAAUUUUUAAAUAACAUGAUUUUCUCAUAAUGUCUUAGCUUCCAAAUGACUUUGUAUAAUUAUAUAAUGCAAGAGAUUGACAUCUAAAUCAAAUGUUAUUAUUAUUUCAAAGUCUCUCUUGUAAGUCACUCUCUUUAGCUAGGGCUGACAGAUCCCAUGGGUCUUACUGGCUAACAUAUGUCCACUGAUUAUUUUUGUCUUGUAGAUAAGAGUGUCUUAUUACUAAAUUAUUUUAACAGUUUUUCAUCUAAGGUGGACUCCGUAUCACAUGCUCACUAUAUCACAGUCACUAAAUAACAAAUAGCAUUUAGUGAGAUUGUAGGCUUGUACUCAAUAUCUACUCUGAAGCAAAUUUAACAAGAAAUCUUCAUUUUUCAAAGAUAAUUGGAGAAGGGAACAAAUCGACAUUUACUGUGUAUCUACAAUGUGGUAAGCACCAUUUAAGGCAUUUAAACGUUAUUUCAGGUUCAUGUACUUCCCAUAGCAUCACAUUUCCUUAGAGAACACUUUAGAGACUCUCCAAUUCAUCGCAACUGGGAAGAUUAUGGUUGUUUCCUUUGCUGGUAGCAGGAAAAUGUGGGACACAAGUUUCUAAGCACAAGACGCGGAAUUCGGUGAAGGGAAACAGAGAUCUUAGGGGUGGAAACAUGCAAUUUUCCCAUGGGUUCCAUCUGAGACAUAGUAAAGACAUAGAAAAGUUUCUUAAGUAGGUUCUAUGGAAUGCUAAGUUCCAGAAGACACCCCCUGAAAAGAAGAAUUCUGUAGUAAAUUUGGAAACAUGUCACCAUACCAUAUCCCCCUCCUGGCUGUGAUUAGCAUAUUGAAGGCUUUGAGUAGCACUAGAUGGGGAAAAAAAAUCUGCUAGCCUUAAAAAACUCAAUAAUCCCUAAACUCUUUGCUCUUGGAAAACUUUCUGCAUGUAACUCAUAUUUUCUGCAGACAAAAUAGACCAUCUUACAGUAAAAUUUCUCACACAAAGAAAGCUUGGGGCAUUCUAUGUUUUAAAUUCACACAUGUCAAUUGUUUGCAUUACUCCCCUCUUGAUUAUACAGAGUCUAAUUAAUUGAAACUAUUAAAACAUUCCAAAUAUUUUAGGGUAUGUUUUUGCUAGGUGACCAUUACAAAAAUGAGCAAGCAGCUGAAUACCGCAGACUUUUCAAACCUACAAAUUUCUUCAGUUAUGAACCUACUUCAAAGAAAAGCUUGAAAAGAUCUUUUUUCAAAGUAUCAGAAUAAGAGCUAUGUUCCAGUGUCUAAUGCCGUGGUAGAAAUUCUAGUUUUGUAAGAGAGAUUGGUGUGGGCAGAGGCAAAACUAUCUUAGCACAAAUCAUGGUAAUAUAUUUUGAUUUAAGUGCUGGAGCAAUACUAAAUUACUAAACACAAACUUAACGAAAACAUAACUAAUGUCAGGUUGUACAGUUUCCAUUAAAGAAGCUGUUCUCUGCUGCCUCUAAACUCUACUGCCUGGAUUGUUUCCUCUCCCUCAUCUUCUCACCUAAUCUUCUGUACUGAGCCAACUCAGUGGAACAAAAGAGAGUGUUCAGCACCGGACACAUUUUUUACUUUAACUUUACUCCCAAAAGGUAAUGACAAGAAGCAUAAUUUACUUCCUACCGCUAGAGAUGUUGUAGCUUAGAGAAACUGCAGGGAUAGUGAUUGGCAUAGCUUGACUUACAUCUGAUACCUUCCCAAACAGAAAGAAGUUUUUAUCUGCUACAAAAAUCAUCCAGUUUAACAUCUUAGAGGUUAUUCACCAUAUAGUCAUUGGAAACAAGUAAAAUGCUUUUCAUAGAUCGUGCUUUUGGAAAAGUCUUCCUAAAGCCAGCAUCCUGGACAGCAAAAAGGUGGUCUGGUAACAGAAUUGAUCAUAUGUUCUUUUUUUUUUUUUUUUUUAAGGGAAAAUGUAAUUUAUUUUGAAGAAUUAAAAGUGAUUUAUUCCUCCUACCCCAAUGGCAUAUCAAGGUCAGAUAGUGGU
ensembl:lincRNA